AACGAACGCUGGCGGCAGGCUUAACACAUGCAAGUCGAGCGCCCCGCAAGGGGAGCGGCAGACGGGUGAGUAACGCGUGGGAAACUACCCUUUGGUACGGAAUAACACAGAGAAAUUUGUGCUAAUACCGUAUGUGCCCUUCGGGGGAAAGAUUUAUCGCCAUAGGAUGUGCCCGCGUCGGAUUAGCUAGUUGGUAGGGUAAUGGCCUACCAAGGCGACGAUCCGUAGCUGGUCUGAGAGGAUGAUCAGCCACACUGGGACUGAGACACGGCCCAGACUCCUACGGGAGGCAGCAGUGGGGAAUUUUGGACAAUGGGCGAAAGCCUGAUCCAGCCAUGCCGCGUGCAGGAUGAAGGCCUU
rnacentral:rRNA from 1 species